GACGAACGCUGGCGGCGUGCUUAACACAUGCAAGUCGAACGAUGAACUUGGAGCUUGCUCUGGGGGAUUAGUGGCGAACGGGUGAGUAACACGUGAGUAACCUGCCCUGGACUCUGGGAUAACUUCGAGAAAUCGGAGCUAAUACCGGAUAGGACCUUGCACCGCAUGGUGUGGGGUGGAAAGUUUUUCGGUUUGGGAUGGACUCGCGGCCUAUCAGCUUGUUGGUGAGGUAAUGGCUCACCAAGGCGUCGACGGGUAGCCGGCCUGGGAGGGUGACCGGCCACACUGGGACUGGGACACGGCCCAGACUCCUACGGGAGGCAGCAGUGGGGAAUAUUGCACAAUGGGCGCAAGCCUGAUGCAGCAACGCCGCGUGCGGGAUGACGGCCUUCGGGUUGUAAACCGCUUUUAGUAGGGAAGAAGCCUUCGGGUGACGGUACCUGCAGAAAAAGGACCGGCUAGCUACGUGCCAGCCGCCGCCGUAAGAC
rnacentral:rRNA from 1 species